rnacentral:lncRNA from 1 species
GUUUCCCACAACUUAUCUCUGAAUGGAUGUUUGGAGCUGGCAGUGGGAUGGAGCUGCCUGAGCAACUGUACUCAGCACCUGGGAGGCAAAAGCACCCUGCAGAGGUCAGCAAGUCAACAUUCCACCAGGACCACUGUGGCUGGCUUAUUCAACCAAUUCAGCUGUUAUCCUUGAAAUGCCUCCAUCUGGGCUGCCAUCCAAAGCUCUUCCUAGGUUCACCAUUGAAAAAGAGAAGCCGAUGCCCCCAGCUCUGUGUCCUGCCUCCCUUUCUGCUCUUCUCAGCCCUCUCCUGCCAGGGCACCUCUUUUUCCCAUCUCUGUGUCUCCCUCUCAUAAAGCCACUCUGUUGUGCCUUGUGAAACCCAAAUUCUAGAAAAGCAAACUUCCUUUGGUCUGUAAGUAUUUCCUUGAGAAUUCCCCAAUGUUAAUUUAAAAAAUAAACUUGCUUCCUUUCCAGACCGGCAAUUCCAUUAGACGCAAGCAUCCUCGUCAUUAACUGAGCAACAACCCUAGGAGUAGACACAACUUCUCCCACAGGCCUCCCGCG